rnacentral:rRNA from 1 species
UACGGAGGGUGCAAGCGUUAAUCGGAAUUACUGGGCGUAAAGCGCGCGCAGGCGGUCUUCCAAGUCAGUGGUGAAAGCCCGGAGCUCAACUCCGGAACUGCCAUUGAAACUGUGAGACUUGAGGAUGAGAGAGGUGAGUGGAAUUCCCAGUGUAGAGGUGAAAUUCGUAGAUAUUCGCAAGAACACCAGUGGCGAAGGCGGCUCACUGGCCCGAUACUGACGCUGAGGCACGAAAGCGUGGGGAGCAAACAGG